UCGGGAAUUUUGGGCAAUGGGCGAAAGCCUGACCCAGCAACGCCGCGUGAAGGAUGAAGUAUUUCGGUAUGUAAACUUCGAAAGAAUAGGAAGAAUAAAUGACGGUACUAUUUAUAAGGUCCGGCUAACUACGUGCCAGCAGCCGCGGUAAUACGUAGGGACCAAGCGUUGUUCGGAUUUACUGGGCGUAAAGGGCGCGUAGGCGGCAAUUCAAGUCAUCUGUGAAAUCUCCGGGCUUAACUCGGAACGGUCAGAUGAUACUGCUUUGCUAGAGUGCAGAAGGGGCAAUCGGAAUUCUUGGUGUAGCGGUGAAAUGCGUAGAUAUCAAGAGGAACACCUGAGGUGAAGACGGGUUGCUGGGCUGAUACUGACGCUGAGGCGCGAAAGCUAGGGUAGCAAACGGGAUUAGAUACCCUCGUAGUCCCUGAGCGGGCUGGCAAGGCGCAU
rnacentral:rRNA from 1 species